GCUCUCUCUCCCCCCUCCUCUCUUUCUCUCUACACUGCCAGUUGUUCUAUUCUCAUGCCCAGACAAUCACCACAGCCCAACUAAUUUAAUCUAGCAGCGACUCCUCCGUCAUACAUGUAGAAAGCUGUGUGUCGUCCGUCAUACAUGUAGAAAGCUGUGUGUCGUCCGUCAUACAUGUAUAAAACUGUAAACAUGUAAUUCAUGUGACUUGCCUCAGCAGUCCCCUCAAUCAAUCUUUCUCUCAUUCAUACAUCAUACAUUUACAUUUACGUCAUUUAGCAGACGCUCUUAUCCAGAGCGACUUACAAAUACAUGUAGAAAGCUGUAUUCAGUCACAGUCAUACAUGUUACAUACUGUACGUGACAUCAUACAUGCAGAAAGACACAAACUAACUCAACCAGAGAUAGAAAGAGCAGGAGGGAGAGAGAGAGAGGAGGGGGAGAGAGAGAGAGAGGUAGAGAGAAGGAGAAAGGAGGGGGAGAGAGAGAGAGAGAGAGAGAGAGAAAGGAGGGGGAGAGAGAAGGAGAGAGAGAGGAGGGGGAGAGCGAAGGAGAGACAGAGAAGGAGAGAGAGAAGGAGAGAUGAGGGGGAGGGAGAGGAGAGAGUGAGAAGGAGGGAGAAAAGGAGAGAAAGGGAGAGAGAAAGAGGAGAGGGAGAGAAGGAGAGAUAUAGAAGAGAGACAGGGAUAGAGUGAGGAGAGAGAGGAAGAAAGAGAGAGGAGAGAGAGGAGGGAGAGGAGAGAGAGAGAGAGAGCGAGAGAGAGAGAAAGAGAGAGAGGAGGGAGAGAGAGAGAGAAAGAGAGAGGAGAGAGAAAGAGAGGAGAGAGAAAGAGAGAGGAGAGAGACAGAGAGAGGAGGGAGAGGGAGAGAAAACCUCCUGCAUAAUGUGUCUAUCCCCUCUCUAAACCUUGACUAGUGUUUUAUAGCGUAAUGAAACAUGAAAACAACACUAAGUUGGCGAUUCAAUAGUCCACUUCUAUCAUGAUAAAUAAGUGAAUAAUAAAGUUGUUUUAAAGUCUCUAUACUGUUUCAGUUAUCAUGCUGUGCUCUACACUCUAUACCAUGCAACGUGACCAAGGGAGGAAGUGGGAAGAGGUCAAAGGUUGAACGCCGGUCCAGAUGACAAGCAGCGACUGAAACGCAAAAUGCUAAUGAUUUUAGCUUAACAUGUACGUAACACCAUUCACUUUGAAUUAGCAUCGUUAGUGAAGGUACCUAUUGCGUUAAAUUAGCAUUUGUUAGCAUACAUACUACACUACUUUACUGCACUACUUUACUGCACUGCUACACUACUACACUACUUUACCACACUACUUUACUUUACUACACUACAUUACUACACUACACUGCAUUACUACACUACUUUACCACACUACAUUGCUUUACUACACAACAUUACUACACUACACUACUUUACUACACUACAUUACUACACUACACUGCUUUACUACACUACAUUACUACACUACUUUACUACACUACUUUACUACACUACAUUACUACACUACACUGCUUUACUACACUACAUUACUACACUACUUUACCACACUACUUUAAUACACUACAUUACUACACUACACUGCUUUACUACACUACAUUACUACACUACUUUACCACACUACCUUAAUACACUACCUUACUACACUACUUUACUACACUACUUUACUACACUACUUUACCAC
rnacentral:lncRNA from 1 species